AGGUGCUGUGGGGUCCCUAGAGACCUGAAACUCACAGCCCAGUGGGGACAGCCCAAGGGCCCUUUUCUUUGGCUCCUGCUUCCCUCUAGAGGCGGACACUUGGGGUCCAAGAUCUUCUGUUGUUGCCGCAAGACCAGCGAGGGGUCUUCCACCACUGUUGGCUUCCACAAUCCAAGAAUGUUCGAACAGCAUCAUCCACGGUCCUUCGCGACAGAGCGAGACUCCACCUCAAAACAAAAAAAAAGACAUUCAACAAAUGAUAUCUGUGGAUGUGUAUAAGGAUCAGCUGGGCCACGCUGAGAUCUGAACACAAAUUCUCUCCACAGUGCUGUACCAAAAAGACAUCCACGCCUCCCCUAUGACAACCGCAUGAUGCUCAAGGCGUGCAUCCUUAGGAGGCCAUGAGCAUUCUAGCCGGCGGCACCCACGUGGUCCCUGCGGCUGCACAGCUGCUGGGCUUCCAUGAGGAAGAGGGCAGUGGACAAGAGUCAUGAAGACUGAUUCAGAAACUCCCCUGCAGGAGGAGAAGACGUCUGAGCCAUCCCUGUGCCACCACCAAGAGUCACUCCAGCUUCUGAAAAAGCCACCGUGGGGGGGAGCCGCCUCCAAUUAAAGUCCUUGGUCACAUC
rnacentral:lncRNA from 1 species